GCGCUCCCGACGCGAGCACUGUGCAGCGCGCCAGCUCGGCUCCUCUCCGCGGAAGGGCCCUGCGGCGGCGGCGGCCUCGAGGGCUUGCGGCCGGAGGACCCCGGAGCCGCCUACGCGGUGCUCUGAGAAGUGGAAGGACUUGCGGGCUUGCGUGCUGAGCUGUGGAGGCUGUGAGCUGUCCCUCCCGCUUCUCUCUCUUCCAUCCUCUUCCCCCACUCUGGUUUCUCCUCCCCUUUUCUCCCUCUCCCUCCGCCCUCCUUCCCCUCCUUCGUCCCUCCCCUUUCCUCUCCUCCUCCUUCCUUCCCUUCCCCCUCUUCCUUCUCCCUUCCUUUUCUUCCUCCCGCUCCGCCCUCCUCCUCCCUCCUCCUUUGCCCUGUUCCUCCUUUCUACUUCCAGGAAUGCCCUCCUGCCCUGACACCUGGCCCUUUUGGAGCCAGGAAGAGAGGAGACGGGAUCACAGCCCUGCAUGACAAGAGCCUCCAGCGCACAGCAGACGGACAGUGUCACAGUCCGCCCCUGCAGGGUGGUAACAAGGGCUCGGGCCGGACUCUGAGGCAAACAGCCUGAACGUAUGUUGUCUCAGCAAGGAGAGAAAAGUAACCAAGACAAAUCCAAUGCAGCUCUCCAGCCUGAAGGAAGCAGAGUUGGGCAGAAAAGACCAGGUCAAAGAGUCAGGUCCUGUGGCAAGUGGAGAACUGGACCCCAGGCCCAGGCCACCUCCUCACCUUCAGGCAGUCACAGCAAGGACAUUCAGCUCAACUUUCUUCAGCCUCGCCAGCCUGCACACUCGGCAGGGGAAUCCAAGGAUGAAGCAGCGUGGGAAUUUCCUGGACUAUUUUCUUGUAUUCCUCUUCACUGUCCUCACAAUACAAGCCCUUGCACACACGAACACAGGAAGACAGAGAUUUAAGACAAAGGCCUCUUCGUCUCCUUCAGAACUAGCUUUGAAUAAACUCUUUCCACCAAAAAUUGUCUCUCGUGUACUGGGGAGUGAUGGUCAGUAAGGACAUUAACCUCCAGUAAUGGAAGGACUCGGUCUAGUGACCUUUCAUCUGGCCAAAGUAUUGGUGGGAGUAGCUGCAGCUGCAAACUGACAAAGGUGCUCCUGUGGAAUUUCACAGGGCAAGGAGCUACUCACGAGGCAAACCUGGGAAAGAGAACACUAUGAGUUGGUAUGGGCCUACAUGAACACUAGCUAAUCAAUCGAAGGCUUCUGGGGGGCCAUAAACACUUUGAUGUUGUUUGGAUUCUGACCUCCAGAUUUUUUUCAAAUUGCAAAUUUGAAUACUUUUGGAUAUACACUGAUGGCCUGAUUAUCGUCAAUGCCAAGUUAGUCACUGGUAGCAGUGGCCUAUAAGGGGUCUCCAGGUGGCCAUUGUCAAGGAAGGGUCUCAAGAAAGCCGUUUGUGUUGUGUGGGCCAGGGCAAAAGUCAGUGAAAUCUGAGUCCUCUCUAUUUACAGUCACAUUUGUUUGCAUAGAUUCAUGAAACCCAGGGAAGCUUGAAUUACAAUAAUAAAAAUUUAAAAAUAAUAAAAACAUAACAAAAAUCACAGCAAUGUCAUUAUUUGU
ensembl:lincRNA